rnacentral:tRNA from 2 species
GUCUUUGUAGUAUAAUUAUUACUUUGGUCUUGUAAGCCAAAAAUGGAGAGUAAUCACCCUCCCUAAGACU